UAUAUAUAAUUUCUAAUUUCAAUUUAGAUUAGUUUUUUGAUAUAUUUGAAAAAAAUGGAAUACAAACAUUAUUAAACUAACUUUUAUGUAAUUAAAAACGAAAUUAUCAAAGGAAAAAAAAAACUAUGUAAAUGUUAUUUUGAAAUCCUAAAAACUUAAAUCCCAUCUAAUGAAUGCGUACCGUACCACUCUCAUCUAUUUUAAAAUUUGACAACUGUAGCUCUCCCAUCCAUCUCCCCCCUUUCAAAUACUCCAUCUACUAACUUAUUUUGUAGAGUCCAACGAUCAUCUCUCCGGCGAAAAUCGGCACCACCACCGUCGCGGUGGCCGCCGCUGAUUCUCUCCCUCUCUCAAUUUCACUCUCUUUCCCUCUCUAUUCUCACAAUUCCCAAAUUAGGAUGCAUCUCUCUUUCUCCCAAAAACCAGACUCUCAUCUCCGGCGAAACUCGUCUCCAGCAUAUAACCGCCGCAACUUCUCUCUCUCACUCACCCUGCUCCGACCUCCACCUCCUCUCAGAUUAUGCGAAAUUUCUCUUUAAAAUUACCUAGAAACCCUACAUGAAAAAGCGGUGCCUCUAUCUCCCUCUCCAUCCCCCUAUUUCUCUCUCAAUUGGCGGAAUCGACUCGUGUUUUCCCCACACCAAGAGUCAUAGCCCUCGCAGAUUUCACGCCGCUGGCCUGCUCGCCCGGAGAAGAAAGCCGAGGACGUGAGUGUCUCGGAGUUUGGUCCCCGCCGCGGCUGCUACUCGCCAUCAUCAGACGCCGUCGUCUCCUGCAGCAGGUCGCUGGUCCGGAUUCGUGGGCAGCGUCGGCCGCCGCCAGCUACGCGAACCCGUCGCCUUCCGCCCUUCCGUCAGGGAAGCUUUACCAACAAUCUUUCUACUCCCUCUAGAGAGUUUGUAUCUGGCUGGUGCUCGUCUAACAUUCUAGUUUGUGAAGAGGAUGCACCAUUAGAGUAUGUAUCUGGCUGGUGCUCGUCUAAAUUUGAAUUCACCCCUGGCAGUGUACCAUGUUCAUCUUAUGCUCAUCAGAGAACGUCUUUGUUGAUUAAAGUGAUUGCAAACCUUCAUUGCUUUGUUCCUAAUGUAUACCAGGAUGAGAAGGAUCUGUUUCUCAACAUGUUCAUUUGGUUCAUAGAGAAGGACUAUUAGAAACUGUCAGAUGACAAAGUGUCCACAGUUAGCAAGGACUUAUGUUCACUGUUAAGUCAUGCAAAGUCUUAGUUCCAGGAUUUUUGAAUGAAGAUGAUGUACAACUGCUGAGGUUAUUUGUAAGUUAGUUUGAGUGCCGAAUCGUUCGUGCUGCAUCGGAAGAUCAUUUAGUCCAUGUAAAACCUCUCUAGCUUAACCUAUGGAUGUCAUUCAUCUUUUUCCAUAAAAUGAGCUUGGGAACAGGUGGACUGCAGGAGCAACUAGCUUCCUAUAUUGAACUCCCGGCCCUGAUGAAAAAAAGAGGAAUAAGCUUCAUAAAAAGGAAUUUUAAGGCCACAAAAGGAAGGUAAGGCUGAUCUUGUAAAGAUGAGAGGGAAGAUGGCAGUAUAUAUUUAAAGAAAACAAUUUAAUCGAUCAAUCAAAAUUGAAUGUUGGAAAGUUUCGAAGAUGAUCUAAAUUGACAGAGUAUUAUGUUUUUUGUUCUGAUAAAGAUAUACUGGUAGAGGUUUGCUUUCAGCAUUUUAGUAUGUGAGAAGGUACCAGGUUUCCAGCCGGUAGGAAAUCCGAGCUUUUAUUGUAGUCAUCAAAUCUUGGUCUUUGAGGAUUCUGGUAACUCUACUUCUCAUCUUUUUCGGGUGUCAUUCAAACUCGUAUAAUAUAUUCAACUUGUGAUGUUUCCUACUUAUACAUGAGUGCCUAACUGCUAUUUAUUCUUAUACAUGCCUGAUAUGUUGAUUUUAUAGAGAAUUUAAAUGUUUUUUUUGUGAUUGAUGUUGAUUUUAUAGAGAAUUUAAAUGUUUUUUUUAUUGACAUGUUAUGAUUAAGAGUAAAUUUCCGAGAGGUUGUCCGCAAUGGGUCUCUAAUAUGUGCAUCUCCCUAGUUUUUAAUGAUUUCAUACACAUCACCAAUUGAUAAACAACGGAUAUUAGCUUCAUAAAUAUCCAAAAAUUGCCCUAGUACUAUGCUACUCUGUACUGAGGAUGAAAUGCUUCGAUGGACAAAGUUUCACCACUUGCUAUUUGUGCAUGCAUGCAAGAUUUUCUCUCUAUUGAUUGUCACUACUUUCACCACUUUUUUAUGGGUUAUUAGUGUAGACUUCAUUUCUCUCAAGGGUUGGUUUGUAAACUUGUUGUUGCUUACUAACUUCUGGAGAACUAGGUUUCCCGUGCUUCAGAUAAAGUGACAAGAGUGUUCUUUGGUGCCCGAUUUCUUGAGCUAAGGAGAGAGAACUAUUCCGGUUUUGAAAAAUUAAUUGAAAAAGCCAUAGGGCCGAUCGACUGAAUGAGAGCUUUAUGAGUUGCAAUCUUGUUGAUAUUGGUGCAUAAAAAUGAUUUAGGCAAUAGGAAAAAAAGCCUCAUAUCCAAAUUAUCACAUGCCUAACCCUACAUAAACCCCUAGUGAGCCCGUUUGAGCCCCAAAAGCCUAAUUUCUUUGCUGAAAAUUUUGAAGUCACUAUAUUAGCCUAGUUAUUAUAUCCAUUUGUUAGCCUAUAUUUUCUACCCUAGUCACUAAAAUUAAAAUGCUAGCACAUUCUUGGGAGGGUAUUUAUGGUGGCAAGUAAAAGAUGGAAGUCCUGGAACAUUCAUGAGGUGGUAUUCAUUCAUAUUGAGAUAGAAAGUGAAAAAAGUUGUGUCUUCAAAGAAAAAUCAAAUAAAAAGGCAGCCUUUAAUGUGUAAAAAAAAGCCAAGGCAAGAAAAAAAAAGGCAGCCUUUCAUGUGUAAGA